GAGUUUGAGUACACUCUAGGAGUUGGUAAUGGAUAGGGAAGCCUGGCGUGCUGCAGUCCAUGGGGUCACAAAGAGUCGGACACAACUGAGCAACUGAACUGAACUGAACUAACUUUUUAUAUCUGCAAAAGCUGUUUCCAAACCAGAUCACAUUCUGAAGUCCUGAGGGUUAGGACAUCAACACAUCUUCUGGGGAACACAAUCCAACCCUCAAUAGAAAGUGACUCACCCCAAAUCACCCAGAGGAACAGGCAGAAUCCCAAGGCCUGAGUUCUGAAUCAUGGCCGGAGCAGCCUGUCAUCUGAAGAGCCUGGCUUCCACCUCUCCUGAGAUUUCAAUAUGUCAGCAGCCAGUUUGUGCCCGCUUCUGUGUCCAGCCGGCUAUGUUUAGCCAGCAGAGCCAGCAUAGUUCUGGGUCCCACCAUCAUGUCCCGGGACACUGCCCUCAAAGGUGGCCUGGUCAGCUCUGGGUCCCAGACCUACAGCACCAAGCAGAUCAGUUUGCAGCUGAGCCAGAAAGAUGGUCAGACCAUCGAGUGGAUUUUCAUUGACGCCGGGGCCUUCACAGAAAACGGCGAGUGGGUGAUCCGGCACUGGCCAGCCACGAUGCUGCUGGACAAGGUGUCCCCAGCCGAGGAGGCAGGCCGCCAGAAGGUCGUCUUCUACCUGUUCAUCCAGCGCAAGCGCCUCUUCUACAUCAUCAACAUCAUCGCGCCCUGUGUCCUCAUCUUCUCCGUGGCCAUCCUCAUCUACUUCCUUCCUGCCAAGGCCAAGAAGGUGCCCGAGACCUCCCAGGCCGUGCCACUCAUCAGCAAGUACGGCUGACUCUAAUUCCUGAGCCCACCUCCUUCCUUCCCUUCUCAGGAACGCCAUCCAGGCCUGUGUGGAGACCUGCAACCUCAUUGCCCGCACCCAGCACCAGCAGACUCACUCUGACAGUGGACAGUUCAAGCUUUCGAAAUAGGAAAAUCACCUCGUGAGAGCGCACAAGCUGGCAGUAAUCCUUUUCUCUGUAUGUGUGUGUUUGUCCGAAGAGGCUGGGAGGGCUCCGGCUGGCCCCUCCUGCUCAGCGAAGGGACGUCCCCCAGCCGCGUGCUCCCCUUUUGCACUCGUUCCUGGAGGACAGAUUCCGCUAGACAGCCUCCAGCGUCGCUGACUUUAUUAAGCGGAAUAAACGGAACACGUGACUUUAUAAUAGGCAGACUUUUUUUUUAAUGGGGUUUUUGGGGGGAGUUCACCUUUCAUCUUUCUGUGUGCUGUCCAGACGCCUCCCAGACACUCUGUCGUGCUCGCCUCUGCUGUACGGAGGGCGUCGUGACCACGUGUACCAGCCAGAGCUGUUGACUGAGAGUGAGCAGUGUUAGGAAUGUCUGUGCAUCCAGGAAAAGCAUUUUGUUGGAGAGUCCCGCAACUGCUUAUAAAUGCUCUCUUCCAGAUCUGCCAUUAUUGAGACAUUUUGUUUAUUUCACACCCCUUGUCCCCCAAGACCACCCUUUCGGAACGUGUGUUACUGAUGCUGUAGUCUCCUGCCUUACACCCUCCAGUCUUCCCUCCUGUGGGACUCUUUGCUUUUAGGCACUGCUGCACUUAGAAUUGUAAGCGGUGGGCCACACAGGUCUCACUGAGGCAGCUUAGAAGGUAGGAUUGUAGAUUAAACUGCACCAAACUGCAGUUUGAUGAGGAGCGAGGUUAUACUAGAGGUUCCAAGGGCAGGAUUUGGAGCUGAGGGCAGUUUCUGACCCAGGUUCCCAGACGGGCAGGACCUGUUGUGUCCAGGCUGUCACUGUGGGUUCUUGCAUUUCCCUCGUGGAGGAGGGGAAGCAGAGGUUGGCUGCUGUCAGGUGUUAACAUGGUCAGUUCUGUGAUCUCAAAACUGGGACAUCUGGAGAAAAGGUGACUGUGAUGGACAGCUUUCCUUGCGUGGUUCUACCUGUCUGCAAUGGUGGAGAAACCUGUCAGUCCUCAUCAGCUGGUAAACGUGUUAGCUGGUGUGUGCUGAUCCAGGGAGCCCAACACAAACCUUGUGGGCUGCUGCAGGCAGGCUCUAAAAAUGGCCUGGCACAUGCCAGAGAAGCCAGGUGAUCUGACUCCAGAAGGACUGAAGUCAGAGAGGUCAGGGAGCACCUAGGGUUGGAAUAAGUACCAAGGACCAGUCUUCGGCAACCUCCGAGGAGUGCCAUCUUACUUGGCUCUUGUGAGCGCAGAUUGCAGUACCUUAAAUUAAGGCCUCCCCUAAAACCUAUGCUUGCAGGCCGGGGGGCUUGACCACCUGGUGUCAGAGAAGUCAUAGAGUAACAGGCAUUUCCUUCUGGUAUUGAUAUUAUUCUUCCUACUUUCCAACUCCUGAACACACUCUGAUUACCACUAUCUUGGGGUGCUUAUUCCUAAAAGAAUAUAGAGGCCUAUAGGGGCCAAAAGGGAGGUGCUUCCAUUGCAGGUGAACCUAGAUCAGAGGUCCAGCAGCGAUUUAAACUCCAGGAGUAUGAAGAGUAAACUCUAGUGCCCAGACAGCUGUGAAGGGCUCACAAAUACAGGAGCAGCGUUGGCCCAAGCAGGGGACAAGGCUUCCUCCUGAGCUUAGACCCCAGGGAGGUCUUCACUUUUGCCUAAACUCAGAUUUGCCAUGAAAAUUCCAAACAGAGCAGAUGUUUGGAUUUGCCCACUGGGCAUCUACCUGACUGUUAGUGUGUGCAUGUGGGUGCAUAUGUGUGUAACAUGUUCACAAGUGAAGGUUUUGUUGGGCCGAGUGCUUAAUUGUCCAUAUUUGUGUUUUUUGGUUUUUUUUUUUGGGGGGGGUGGGGGUGUCUCAUUUUGAUUUCUUAGUCUCUUGUGUUUUCUAGAGCUGCUCGUGUCAUUCCACGCCCCCCCCACCACCACCUUCCUCUUUGUCUUUGCAGUAUUUGAAAGUUAUUUUUUCCCCAUCAAAAAUAUGCUGGCUAGAGCAAGAGUUAUUUCUGCUAGGCAGCAUCUUGCCCUAGAUCUCUCCAGAUCUUCUGCCUAACAGCUUUAAAUCCGAGAUCAAAGAGUCAGUUUCUCCAAACCACCUGUUGUUCACACUAGUUUGCAAUGUCUUUUCAAUUCCUAAUGACUCCCUGGACCCCCGUGACACUGAAACAGGACGCAGUUGCGGUUAAGGUGUCACCAGUUCCAGAGAAACAGGAAGCAAGGCGCACCCGGCGUGGGCCAGCCUGCAGACGUGUGGGGUGGCUGCUGGAGGCGGGGCGCCCCUGUGCCCAGACGGGCUGCUCCCAGGACCCCCAGAAGUCGGCCCCACGCCUCACCUGCUCUUCUCCUCUUAGCCUCCCAUUCAUGUGUGUGUGUGUUUGCCCUGUGACGGCAGUGACAGUUUUCCACCCAGAGAGAUGCUUGUGGUCCACGAUGCUCCAAGAAUGAAUUUCCAAGUGUUUGCCAGUGGAGGAGCAGAGGCUGUGACAAGAGUGAUUUAUGUUGCGCUUUCAGAGCAGUUGUCUACUGCAGUAAUAAA